UUCUCAGAUUCCUCCUGAUGGACAAUUUAUUGAUAUGUACCAACAACAUUCAGAGCAGCCACUAACUUGGCAUGCAGCUGCCUAAGACUCAUUAUGGCCACGUUCUGAAAGAAAGGAAAGGAAUUACAUUACCUUAUGCCUUUCCCCAUAGAGAUAUCUGGAAGCAGAGCCACUACCAUAGACUUCGACAAUUGUCUAAAACAAGCUUAUCUUUCUCCCUGUUUGAAACAUG